GCCUGUGGCUCAGUGGUAAUGCACAUGCCUGGUAUGUGUGAGGCACUGGGUUCGAUUCUCAGCACUGCG
rnacentral:tRNA from 1 species